UUAAGCUUAUUACAAAUAUCUAGCUGAAGUCACUGGUAUAAAUUUAUAUUGGCAACAAAUAAAAAAUAAAAUAAGUUACUUGAAGAAUACUUAUUUUAAGACUAAAAGUCGGCGCCAGUUCUUAAUUUCUAUUUCUAUUUGCAUCGAUCUUGAAGAUAGAAAAACUCCCUCCAUAAGAUGUGUUUACUUUU